AAAACUUACAUUUAAAUCCUUCUUAGAAAAUGUUAGGAUUUUCUGAUGUUGGGGGCAGGUCCUGCUCACUGUGAUGCCCAGCCCUCAGGAAGCCCAGAGGAUCCAAACUGGUUCAAAUGAGAUUCAAAACCUUUAAAAAUAAAUGAAUAAUUAACGCUCGACCCAAUAUCUGCUUUUCCCUCUUCUUUCCCUUCUUCUCUUUCCUUUACUUCACCACCUUUCACAGACAGAUCAUGAUUUGAGAAAACAAAUAAUUGCAGCCUUGAUCUGAUCUACUGAAGAAAUAACAGCUGAUCUUGAAAUCAGAGUGAAUUUCUGAAGGCUGUGUCCUCGUCUGUGCAGGAGACCUGUUUUCUUCCGAAAGCAGCCAAGAGUAGCUCCAAACACAGUAGUUACUUCAGAGGGCACUGAGAAGGAAGGCAGGUAUAUUCGCGUUAUGCCUGUGGAUCUGUUGCCAAGCACACCGUCUUGCCACCGACACAAGAGCCAGUUUUGCCUGGCAGCACAGACAUCAAAGCUCCCUCAUGGAAAAGCAGCCCCGAAUUUGGAAGAGGCAUUUUAUAAUUUCCAACCAUUUCAUUAUGGCAUUAAGCUUCCAGUUCCUCUUCAUUAUGGUUAUGAACAGCUGAACUCAGGCUCUGAAGUGCUAUUUUCCCAGUGUUCUCAGGAACAUGAAGACUUUUCAGUGAUCAUGGACAGACGGAUGAAUUGUCGUGGAGCUGCAGGGAGCCAGAAACGACGUGUGUUCUGACUAGAAUUGAAGCAUUUCUUUUUGAACCAAUGGCAGGUCACUUCCGUAGUAAACACAUCGACUGAUGCUGUGUCCCAAAAGAAGUGGCAAAACAAAAUUACUUGACGACUUCAAGUUUUUCAUUUAAUGACUAUCUAUUGUAAACCAGAAAGAAACUUAAACAUUAUAUCCAUAUUAAUAAAGGCAUGUAUUGGAAAGCCA
rnacentral:lncRNA from 1 species